CAUCUCAAAAAUAAAAACAAAACAAAACAAAAAAGAAACCAGUCUGAGAGGCGGCCGGGAUCUGGGGCACCCGAGAGGCUCAGCGUGGGAAACGCACCAGAUGGCAGCAGGUGGAACCAGCAGAGGCUGUGUGCGCCAGCCCUGAAGCUCCAGCCCCUCAAGUGGGACCAGGGAAGCGGUGACGGUAUCCACACAACAGACCACACAGCUGCCGCAAAGAACAGGGCCAGGCGUGAGCGAGGGGGCAGAGGAACUGGAUCCCGGGCACUGCCGGUGGGGUGUAAAACCGUCCUGCUGUGGCCAGAGGCAGUUUGGUCAAACAUAGAACAACCACGGGUCUGGCAAGUCUGCCUCUGGCCACGCACCCAGAAGAGCUGAAGUCAGAGUCUCAAAGACAUCACCCAUGUUCACAGCAGCCUUAUUCACAACAGCCAAAAGGUGGAAACCACCCAGUGUCCAUCGAGGGACGAACGGAGAAGCAAAAUGAGGUCCACCGACACGGCGGAAUAGUAUUCAGCCCUGAAAUGGAAGGACAUUCCGACGCAGGCUACAACAUCACCCUUGGUAGAAUAAGUCAGCCAGCCACAAAAUGAAACUGGCCCGAUGGUCCCCUGGAACUCACGUUCAUGGUUUCUUUUGAAUAAACAUAGAAAUGAGCCUG